rnacentral:rRNA from 1 species
AUUGAACGCUGGCGGCAUGCCUUACACAUGCAAGUCGAACGGCAGCACGGGAGCAAUCCUGGUGGCGAGUGGCGAACGGGUGAGUAAAGUAUCGGAACGUGCCCAGUCGUGGGGGAUAACGUAGCGAAAGCUGUGCUAAUACCGCAUACGAUCUAUGGAUGAAAGCGGGGGACCGUAAGGCCUCGCGCGAUUGGAGCGGCCGAUGUCAGAUUAGGUAGUUGGUGGGGUAAAGGCCUACCAAGCCGACGAUCUGUAGCUGGUCUGAGAGGACGACCAGCCACACUGGGACUGAGACACGGCCCAGACUCCUACGGGAGGCAGCAGUGGGGAAUUUUGGACAAUGGGCGCAAGCCUGAUCCAGCAAUGCCGCGUGCAGGAAGAAGGCCUUCGGGUUGUAAACUGCUUUUGUACGGAACGAAACGGUCUGGGUUAAUACCCUGGGCUAAUGACGGUACCGUAAGAAUAAGCACCGGCUAACUACGUGCCAGCCGCCGCCGUAA